rnacentral:rRNA from 1 species
CCCUUAGAUGUUCUGGGCCGCACGCGCGCUACACUGAUGCAUUCAACGAGUCCAACCUUGACCGAGAGGUCCGGGUAAUCUUUGAAACUGCAUCGUGAUGGGGCUAGAUUAUUGCAAUUAUUAAUCUUCAACGAGGAAUGCCUAGUAAGCGUGAUUCAUCAAAUCGCGUUGAUUACGUCCCUGCCCUUUGUACACACCGCCCGUCGCUCCUACCGAUUGAGUGUGUUGGUGAGGAGUUUGGAUUGGCCUCGGAAGGUGGUUCGCCACCGUCCGUAGCUGAGAAGUUCUCCAAACCGCCCCACUUAGAGGAAGGAGAANUCGUAGCA